rnacentral:rRNA from 1 species
GACGUAGGGCGCGAGCGUUGUCCGGAUUUAUUGGGCGUAAAGAGCUCGUAGGCGGCUCGUUGCGUCGGCUGUGAAAACCCGCAGCUCAACUGUGGGCUUGCAGCUGAUACGGGCGGGCUGGGAUUCGGUAGGGGAGACUGGAAUUCCUGGUGUAGCGGUGAAAUGCGCAGAUAUCAGGACGAACACCGGUGGCGAAGGCGGGCCUCUGGGCCGAUAUCGACGCUGAGGAGCGAAAGCGUGGGGAGCGAACAGG